UAUUUUUUAUUUUUGAAGAAUUUCUCAAGGUUUUGAUUCUGCUCAUAUUUGUUUAUCUUUGUUGUUUUUGAUCCAUCAUUUUUUUAUAACACCCUGUUUGUCAUUUCUUUAGAUUAGAGGUAUAGGUGUUAUAUAGACUGUGUUCAGUUCAUAUUCUAUGUUCAGUCUUCACUUUUUAUCCAGUUGUCAUUACUUUUUGUAAGAUAAAAGGCAAUAGUAGGGAGAAAUAUUAAAUAAAAUAGUUGUUAAAUACCUGUUUUACUUGUUUAGCAAGCUACUUAUUCUUUUUGUUUUAUUUUUGAAAAUUAAUCUAAAGGAAUUUUUCUAACAAAUAUUGGAAAUAUACAACAAAACAGAGAGCAGAAAACACAACAGAAAAUAUUUUUAGAUUACAAUUAUAAAAGAAUACACUGGGUUUCAAAAUAUGAAGUUAUUUUGAGAACACCAAAAUAGUUACUUCCUAAAGUUUGCUCUGGUCUCUCUUGGUAAAUCACUUUUCAAAGUGAAGUUUCUCUGACAUCUUUCCUGUUAUUGUCAUGCUGUAAAAUAUUUUUAAAAAGUAUGUUUGUAGAGGAGACUUUUAUCCUGGGAUUUGCCAGUACAGAAGGAAAAAUAAUCCCGUCUCCUUCUCCUCAGUAUACAUUUGUAUGCAGUCAGAAUUUGCAUCUUAACAGGCAUCAGCCUAGGAAAAUCCAUUAGGGAUUUAUCUUGUGAGUGUCUUCUAAUGGAGGGGAAGUUUUAUUUUUGUUUCUGUUGAUUGUCCUAGAGCUGAAGCUGUAGAUAAGAAUGCUUUUCUAGGAGGAGUGCUCUGUAAUAUUUACCACAAUAAAAUGAGCAUAUAAAAAUGAAAACAAAACUGAACAACAAUAACAAAACCAAAAAAUGCAAGUAUUGCCUCUUUAGAUAUUAUUUCAUUCCCACUGUGAUAAUACACACAGUCACCUGAGACUCAUGCCAGUGUCUUUUUUCCAUUUCUUUAUUUUUCAGUAUUUUAUUUUCUCAAGCAUCAUUUUUUUUUCAUUGGGUAGAUAUAGGCUUUUUUCUAACAAUUGCUCCAGAAUCGACAAAUGCAGUGCAUGGUAUGUGGGGGUACAGCGUACAAGACUAUAUGCUUUUAGGUUAAUACGAGAAGACUGUAUUGACAGACUGUAAUUUACAAGUAAUAAUGUGAAAAAUUCAAGAAGAUAUAGAGACAUCAAAGUUGACAAAUGGGAAUAAGGUAAAAGGAACAUCCUGAUUUGUGUUAUAUUUUUACAUUUAUGCAUGUAUCACAUAAUGUUAUUUAUAAAAUAUAACUUAAUGAAACUAGAAUAUAGG
rnacentral:lncRNA from 9 species